ACGGCUCAGUAACACGUAGACAACUUACCCUUGGGACCGGGAUAACCCUUGGGAAACUAGGGCUAAUACCGGAUAGUGCAUCGAUCGCUGGAAUGCAUGAUGUACGAAAGCUGAGGCGCCCAAGGAUAGGUCUGUGGCCGAUUAGGUUGUUGUUGAUGUAACGGAUCAACAAGCCUACGAUCGGUACGGGUUGUGAGAGCAAUAGCCCGGAGAUGGGUUCUGAGAGAAGAACCCAGGUCCUACGGGACGCAUCAGGCGCGAAAACUUUACAAUGUGCGAAAGCACGAUAAGGGAACUCUGAGUGCCUCCUAAGGAGGCUGUUCAGAUGUUUAAAAAGCAUCUGGAGGAAGGGCUGGGUAAGACCGGUGCCAGCCGCCGCGGUAACACCGGCAGCCCAAGUGGUAGUCAUGCUUACUGGGUCUAAAGCGUCCGUAGCCGGCCAGGUAAGUUCCUUGGGAAAUUUGAUCGCUUAACGAUCAAGCUACCUGGGAAUACUACUCGGCUUGGGACCGGGAGAGGUCAGAGGUACCUCAAGGGUAGGGGUGAAAUCCGUUAAUCCUCGGGGGACCACCGGUAGCGAAGGCGUCUGACCAGACCGGAUCCGACGGUGAGGGACGAAGGCUAGGGGAGCGAAGCGGAUUAGAUACCCGCGUAGUCCUAGCUGUAAACGAUGCGGGCUAGGUGUUGGCAUUACUGCGAGUGAUGCCAGUGCCGAAGGGAAGCCGUUAAGCCCGCCAUCUGGGGAGUACGGUCGCAAGGCUGAAACUUAAAGGAAUGGCGGGGGAGCAC
rnacentral:rRNA from 1 species